rnacentral:rRNA from 1 species
CCUGGAACGGUGAGUGGAUGAAAGCUCCGGCGGCAUAGGAUGGGCCUGCGGCGUAUCAGGUUGUAGGGGGUGUAAUGUACCCUCUAGCCCUCUACUCGUACGGGUGUUGAGAGACAUCGCCCGGAGAUGGAUUCUGAGACACGAAUCCAGACCCUACGGGGUGCAGCAGGCGCGAAAACUUGGCUUUGCGAGAAAUCGUGACCAGGGAACUCCAAGUGCAUGGGGUAAGACCUAUGCUUUUCUAGACUCUAAAAAGGUCUUGGAAUAAGAGGUGGGUAAGGACGGUGCCAGCCGCCGCGGUAAUACCGGCGCCUCAAGUGGUAGUCGCUUUUAUUGGGCCUAAAACGUCCGUAGCCGGUCUGAUACAUUCGUGGGUAAAUCAACCAGCUUAACUGGUUGAAUUCUGCGAGGACGGUCAGACUUGGGACCGGGAGAGGUGUGGGGUACGCUCAGGGUAGGGGUAAAAUCCUGUCAUCCUGAGCGGACCACCUGUUGCGAAGGCGCCACACUAGAACGGAUCCGACGGUCAGGGACGAAGCCUAGGGGCACGAACCGGAUUAGAUACCCGGGUAGUCCUAGGUGUAAACGCUGUG